AACUACCAGUGGACGAUGCUACUCUUAGAAGAUACUUCAUCUGUUUAGACAAAAACAAGGACGGUUCUAUUGAUUACAACGAGUUUGCAGAUGAGUUGGGUGUGCAUAUUCAACAUGUCAGCUCCAAAGGAAUGACAACGGUCAUGAAGAGCAGUUAUACUCCAAUUAAUGAGAGGAGUCAGGAGAUGGAAGUAAAGAUUGACAAACAGAAA